AGAGGAGUGCAUUUCUGUAAAUAUCUUGCAUUCUUUGGGGGCGAGGAGGGGAAAAAAAAAGUUGGGAACUUUAUUAAUAGGGAAAAUGAAAAUUUCCCUACUUUAUUUAAUUAUUAUUACUAUUAUUUUUGGGUGUAUUAGGGGAUUAGAUUCAAUGGUUACAACUGUAUGAUUUAAUAUGAUAAUUAAAUUGACCAAGUUGUAAUUUUGAGACCAAGAUCAAUGAAUUUGGCAUAUAUUGCUAUAUAUGGAAAA
rnacentral:misc_RNA from 1 species